rnacentral:rRNA from 1 species
UUGAAGUCGAGAAUGAAAGGAAAAAUUAAAAUAAACUGUCUUAAAAGUUUUUUUUAAAAAUUGCUGAUAUGGUGAAAAUUCCAUAAUAAAAUUUUAAUAGACGAGAAGACCCUAUGAAUUAUUAUUAAAAAGUUUUUAUAAAAUUUUAAAUUUUUGUUGGGGCAACAGGAAAAAAGUUAAAAAAUUUUUUAUUUUAUUAAUCUUAUAUUUGAAGUUUUUACUAUAAAUGAAUUUAAUU